GCCCAAUCCAUGUCCAACGCUCCCCACCCCCACCCAAUACCCUGGCUAAAAAAACUACCGUGUCCAACUCUUCUCCAAAGAAGCGCAUCUCUACGACUGUGUGGAGGACCGCGGCGGCGCCCUGGCGUCGGCAGAGGAGGCAGGUUCCGCAGGCCGUCCCAGAGGCGGCCUCCAGCCGAACGGAAAGCGGCCAGCGUCAAGCCGGUGUGGAGACUCAGUUGAGGAACGGCAGAGGAAGAAGGCGGCUGCAUCCGUGGUGCCGGAAAUAAACCUAGAUCUACCGCCGCCACCUUUGCACGCGAGGUCGCCAUCUCCUUGUACUGUGGGCUCAUCGUCCUCAUCCGCUUCGGCCGUCAGGACUCAAUCACGGAGUUCCCCACCCCCCAUGGAGCAGGCAAACAACAAUAGCUUGAUCGCAGGGCAGGAAUCCCCACCAUUACCACACCACACACCACAUAUUAACGUUGAUCCAACAUCCCCUGAUCCUCAUAGUUCAACCGUACCGCCUCCAUAUCCCAUGCCACCUAUGUUCCUUUACAACCACACUCCACUGCUACCAAAUAUGCCCAUCCAAUAUUACCCCAACCCAUAUGCUGUGCAGCAACCCUAUCUCCCUCAUCCAGGUCAACACCCAUAUUACGCCCAGCCUCCACUGUCACAAUAUGACAUGGCAAUGCCUUCUAAACCCCGCCGCACCCGCUCAAAAAAGAAAACAGCAUCAAAAGGUGGUUCGUCAAAGGGCACUUCAUACACCAUUGCUGAAGAUUUAGCCCUAUGUUCCGCCUACCUAAAUGUGAGCCAGGACGCUACAGUUGGUACCAACCAGAAAUCCGAGACCUAUUGGGAACGCAUUACCAAUUACUACAAUAACAGUAAGGUUCCAAGCACCCGGACAGAAAAUGCUCUUACUGUUAACAAAUUCAGUACGAAUGCAAGAUAUGUAGCCUAAAGUUUCUGACAGAGAGAAAUUUGACAGUGUGGAAUAUGAACUAUGUAAUGCAUAGCAGUAACGUUUCUUGAGUACUAGUUCAAAUGUGAGUUCAGGUAAUUUCUUGUCAACAUGUAAAACAGGAAGGGCCAAUGGAUGUGGUUCGAUUACUGUCAGGAAGCAAUUUGUAUAAAAAUCUUAUUGAUAAUAAAUCUGUACUUCUGAUCUCA